UCCACCCACCCGAGGCCAGAGCAGGCAGGGCCUCGGGGAGGGACUUCCAGAGCAAGGGCUGCUGAACUGAGAUCCACGCAUGGGCAGGCUUCUGGUGGCACGAAAGAAAGGGAAAGGUGUUCCAGGCAGAAGGAGUAGCAUGUGCAAAGGCUCAGAGGAACGAGCGUGCAUGGCUUGCUGGGAGAACACAAGCCCACCCACCCCUCCGGGCAGGAUUAAACUCGCCCUCCUCUGGGCAGCCCUGGAAUGACCUCUGGCCUCCAUGGCAACUGCUCUCCACUUCCUGUCUUGCCUGUCUUCCACCUUGAGCUCCUUGGAGAUGGUGAUCUCUUACUUAUCGAGGCAUCCCCAGCACUAAGUGCCUGACAUGGUACAAAUGAAAUAUUGGAGAGAAGAAUGAAUCCAAGCCCCGUCUCAAGCUAUCCACUUCCUCUUCGUCCAAGCCUGUGUUCAGCAACUGCUCUCCAAGCAGGCGCUCGUUUCUGAGAACAGGAGGCAGGAUUCUUUUGGGAUUCUGCUUGAUCCGGAUCCACCCCUGUAGUGGGGAAGGAGAACUGUUACAGGAUUCAACGAAAUGGGUGUGUGGAGCUGCCAGUACCUGCCUGGCACACCAAGCUCACGCCAGACCUGGAUGCCACCACAGCUCUUGAAGGGACUGCAAGCCUGCGCUGGAAGUUUUCAAGCCUACCUAGACUGGAUGUUUCGCAUCUGGACUGCUUCUGGGGCUCCCAACCCUCCUGACGGCUUUCAGCCCACCCUUCCUGGCCACCCUGGGCAAUCAGUCAGCCUCACCUCAAAGCUGAGACCGCUAAGGAGGAGGGCGUGGAAGGACAAGAUGAGAAUUAGCCCUUGGCCUUUCACAAGAGAAGGAUCUCCUUUCCGCCACCACCUCCCCACAGUGGUAUUAUCAACCCUCUUUUCAGCUGCAACACUAGAGGUCAGGGGUUAAGUAACGUGACCACAGUCGCUAGCUGGUGGGAGAGCCCAGGCGCACACUCAGUCAUCUGGCCGCAGAGACCACUCCCUUACCUAAUUUCAAUCCAAGUGUCAGGGGCUCCACCAGGAUUCCCACCCUCAGCACUGCUGACAUUUGAGCUGACUGUUCUGGGCAUUGCAGAGUGUUUAACACCAUCCCUGGCCUCUACCCACGAGAUGCCAGAAAUCACCUCCUUCCUCCUACACACACACACACACACACACACACACACACACACACACACACACACACACACACACACACACCCCAGUUGUGACAACCAAGAAUAUCUCCAAACAUUGCCCAGUGUUGCCUGGGGGGCAAAAAUCUCCCCAACUGGUCUGCUCCUAACUGAGCAACGGGGACAAGAUUCAUGGCCUUGGCGACCACUGUCCUCCCAUAUACAACAGUCUGGAUGAGUGGUCUCCAAGAGCUCAGUGACUCAAUGGGGGGCAAGUAGCAAUUUGAUUUAUAUGGAUUUGAAUCCUUAAUCUAUGUAUAUUUUAUCCAAGAUCCCAGAAGUUGGUCUUCACCAGUGUUUGCUGUUCAUAUUGCUGGUGGGACACAGCUAUGUUUCUAAAUAAAUAUGAUGAGUGAGGACAGGUCUAAUAUUACUUACAGAGAGAGGAGCAAUCAGAAAAGUUUGGAGACCACUCUGCUAGAUGAUCUCAAGGCUUCUGUCAGCCACCUAUCCUAAGUUCUAUGAGAAUAAAAGAGAGCCUCCUACAAUACUGUGAUGUCCGGGGCACUCUUUCUUUCUGGGCUUCAGUUUCCCCCUCGAGGGGAGAUGGGGAAGAACCCACCUCAUAAGAUUGUUGCAUGGACCAAAAAAAAGUAAUGUAUGCACAGUGCUUAGCCCAGUGUAGAAUAAUACUCAGAAAUGUGAUUUUCAUAUACAGAUGCGAAAACUAAGGUUACAGAAUCUUCCAAAAUUCCCCUUAGGUCUUUUAAGUUCCUGUGUGGUAAAGGCCAAAUUCAAGACCCUGGUCCACCUCACUCCCCACCCCUCAAUGUGCGGCUCCCGUGGGACCUCAGAACAUUCCUAGUGCUUUUCUGCCCUUCCACACUUGUGUCCCUUCCACACAGCAGCUUGUAUCAAAUUUCUCUUCAGUUUGGUGGAAUAAAUAACUGGU